rnacentral:rRNA from 14 species
GGCUGCAACUCGCCUGCAUGAAGUUGGAAUCGCUAGUAAUCGCGUAUCAGCAACGACGCGGUGAAUACGUUCCCGGGCCUUGUACACACCGCCCGUCACACCAUGGGAGUGGAUUGCACCAGAAGUGGUUAGUCUAACCUUCGGGGGGACGAUCACCACGGUGUGGUUCAUGACUGGGGUGAAGUCGUAACAAGGUAGCCCUAGGGGAA